UAUUUUUAUUAUAUAUUAUUGGAAAAUAUACAUAUAUUAUUUCAUGAUGGUGUCUAUCUCCAUCACAAUCUAGAGAAAAAGGAAAUAUAAAAAUAGAAAAUGCAAUAGGUAGGAAAUAGAGUCUAGAAAAUAUACAUAUAUUAUUUCAUGAUGGUGUCUAUCUCCAUCACAAUCUAGAGAAAAAGGAAAUAUAAAAAUAGAAAAUGCAAUAGGUAGGAAAUAGAGUCUAGAAUUAAAGAGAACCAAUUUGUUAAAAAAUGUUUUUAGCAAAAUGCUAACACUCAACGCGCUCAUCGCAAUCGAAACAAAAUUAAAGUAACGUCAUGCUAAAAACAAAUCAAACUAAAUAUCCGCAAUGUGCUCAAAUUUGAUUCAAGCGCGAUAAUAUUCACCAAAAUGUAGCACGUGCGAAUCAAAAUAAUCACAUUCGCAAAAAAUCAAAUAGAGUUACGACAUACAAAGCACGUCGAACCUCAGAUCUGAACCAAUUUACACGCAAACCCAAAUAUCAACGAGCAGCAUACGCAUAAGUUAUUUACAACAUUACACCGUUUCAGAGUAUUACAACCUCAAAAUAAAUAAAAACAACAACAUAAAAAAUAAAAAUAAAAACAGAAACAUGAUGGCUAUUUGUGGAAGAAAGAAGAUAUGGUUUAGGAAAGUAAGAAAAAUGGUGGCUAACAUGAAAAGAGAAAAAUCCUACAACUUUAUUUCUUACUUAUUUUUUAUCUCUUUUCUUUUGAAUGAGAGAAAAGAAUCAUGCUGCUGUGGUUGUUAAGACUUUGUGGAAACGUGAAGAGGAAAAAAAUAAACUAUUCUCCAGCCUCUUUCUUUUUAAUUUUUCUUUUCUUGUAUUCACGUUGAGAGAAAGAUCGAAAUGUGUGGCUACUAAGUGUGUUUUGUGUGGUGUGGUUUUAUGUGUAGAGAAGAAAUGACCAUGAGAGUGGAUGAUUAAUGUAUCAUGUGGGGGAAUACAAAGAAAAAUAUCACUGACUUCAGGUUUUCCUUUCGUCUCUUUUUUUUUCUUUGAAUGAAUAUUAACCAGUGAUAGUCAAUCCUGAGAGUGUGGGGCGCAAAUCGUAUUGUUAAGUGUUUUUUUUCAUUUGUCAAUGACAUUUGCUUUAUAUAGUGUGGGUUAGGGUUUUAAGAAUUGUUUAAUACCUGCAAUACCCUUCUAGAUAUUUUAAGUGAUAAAAUGAGUUUAAAAACUAAAAUGAAAUAAAAUUCUAUUUUUUAAUAAAGACAAAUAAAAAUCAAAUUAUCACAUUUUUGUCUCUGUUUAUCUUUUCCCAAUAUUUUGAUAAAAAAUAAAAGGAAUUAAAAUUGGGUGCGAAAAUGCGUGAAAAAUAAAAUGAAUGCACUAAAAUAAUCUACGCAAAAUAUAGUUCAAGAAAACUGAUAGAUACGAAUCAAAUCUUGCAGUAAAAGAUGUCUGGUUGAAAGGGCUCAGGUUGAUCAAAAUGAGAAUAUAACAGGAUCGAAAAAAUUAAAUGAGCACGCCAGAUUAAACUAUACGACUUAUAGAUCAAUAAAACAAAACGUUGCGAGCCCAGUCUUGAGAUUUUUCGUCCGCUAAUUUUACACGCAAUUGAAAAUCGAUUCAAUCGGUCUCUGUAUUAAAUCGAAAUUUUAUCCUGGUUGACUUUUUAAGCAUUAUGCUUAAAGAAAUUAAUGUUAUGAUAUGCAGAUGAUGCAAAUAUCUCGUGAAUGCAUCAAUUUAUUGAUUUGAGACAAAAUUGGGGUAUGACACAAACUUAGACAAAAGGCUGACGUUAUAUCCCAACAACGGAACCUAAAUGUUCAGUCUCAAAAUCGAGUUGAUGAUUUGGAGGCCCAAACCACAAAGGGUAAAGAUCAAGUGGUGACCUACAACAAAGAAAUUUCAAACUGAACGAAAUAGGUUGAAAAACUACAACAAAAGAUUAAGGAGACGCAAAGAAAAAAGGCUUAAAUUGAAAAUUCUGGACUAGCUUCUCUUAAAGAAAAGUUAGUUCAAGAGGCCAACCUCAGCUUUUGGUAUACUGAGGUUGUUUAUCUAUCGGAAGAAGAGAUUCGACCUCUACAAACUAAAAAUCCAAUUAAUGAUGCAAGGAUUAAGCUUGGAAGGAAGCAUUUGGAGAAGAUUAAGACUUAGUUUUCCUCUUUGAAUUUUUUACUUCUGGCUUUCUAUUUGGUAACUAUAUUAAUGGCAAUGUUCCAUUCUGACACUUUUUAAUUUCAAUGCCAUUUUGACAUAUCCAUUGCUUAUAUAUUAUUCUUCAGUUAUUUGAAUUUCCUACAACAUAGGCUUGUAGGAACAGAAAAAUGAUUUGUUAAAGGUUGGUGUAAGAAGAACAACAAUACAUAACCAAAAAAAAAUUUGUGUCACAAUCCAUCUGACAAAAUGAUGUUUAAGAGUAUAGAGCGGUUGAAUUUAUGAGUUAGGUUUAGGGUAAAACUUAGUGAAUGAAUCCUUUUAUAAUAAAAUAUGUGUAUGAUACCCCUCGAUUAUUUGAGAAAUCGAAGGAAUAAAAUAUUUAAUAAUAAAAUAAAAUCUUAAAUAAUACGUCACUUUUAAAGGAAAAAAUAAAAACUAGAGUUGCUAGAGCUCAAAGUAUGUAUCCUAAAUUAUUUAUCCUUCGUUCUUUUUUCUUAAACCGAAAGAAUAAAUGAUAAUGUCUUUAAAAAAAAUAACAUAAGACGUCAUGAAAUUUUACCUCAAUUUUUUGUUGAAUGAUGUGAAAGCUUUAUUAUAAAAGAUAAUAUUUGUAGUAGUGUAUACACUUCACGACUUCAUUCUUCAUACUCUUCGUUCGUAUCAUGACGAACAAGUAAAAUAAAGAUAAAAAAUAAUUUUCUUCAUUUCUAAUAUAUAAAUAUCAAUGAUACACCAGAAUAAAAACCCCACAAAUAAUGUUUUUAAAAUUUAUUUAAAUUUGUAAAACUAAAUUUUAGAUAUCACUCUUAAGUUACAAAGCAUAUAUUUUCUCUUUCAAGCAAAAUACUUCUUUUAUUGGUGUUUAAUUCAUAUUAUUAUAUCAAUUAUAAUAUAAUUUUUUAUUAUAUUUGUCCAUCAAAGUUUUUAACAUAGAUGAAAUUCAAUAUAAAACAAAUAAAGACUAAUUUACAACCGUGUAUAGCGUGAAUUUCAGUCUAAUUAAUUUAAUCUCAAUAGACCUAAAAAAAACUAUUUUUUAAAAAAUAAAAAAGAUAAACCAAAUGAAAAUCAAUAUGAUCAAUCAAAACUAUAUAGUUUAUAACGUUUGCAAGAUCAAUGAGAAAAAGUUCAAAAGAGAACCACAACUCAAAAGGUGCAUAAAAUAUUUAAAAUUUCGCUUGAUCAAAAACAUAUAAUUCUGCAUUUCAUAGCAUGAAUCAUCAUCCUAUCCAAUCAGAUAGUUGUUUGCACAUCACAUUGUAUCGCACGUAGUAUCACACAUGAAUAAUUUCAACUGCUCUUAAUAUAUAAAGAGUGAAGCAUUUUGUUUCAAAUAUUUAAUUACAUUCCACUCACAUAUUAUCUUUUAUUUUGUUUCUCUGACUUAAGUAUUAAAAUACUAAUUUUACAAUUUAGUCUUCUCUCCACCACAUCAAAAGUAUAAAUCUAGUGUAACAAAGAUACAACUUCACUUCCUCACCCUUUCUAAUUUUUAACAAAACAAAUUAUAUGCUUCAUCAUUCUCUAUGUCUAUCUACCUAUUUUUAUAUUUUUUUUUUCAGACUACAGUAUCAUGGUUUAUUUAUUUAUAAAAUAUGUAAUAUCAUAUAUAAAUUAAAAUGUUAUUUUUAUUAUAUAUUAUUGGAAAAUAUACAUAUAUUAUUUCAUGAUGGUGUCUAUCUCCAUCACAAUCUAGAGAAAAAGGAAAUAUAAAAAUAGAAAAUGCAAUAGGUAGGAAAUAGAGAUCUAGAAUUAAAGAGAACCAAUUUGUUAAUAUUGCAAAAAGUUCUCCAAAUUUCUUCUGUCAUUAUCAUUAAAAUCCACAGAAUCCAUCAACUGUGUUAGCCUUUCACUGAG
rnacentral:lncRNA from 1 species